rnacentral:tmRNA from 1 species
ACUGUUUCAAAUUCAAAAGAAUCUCCCUAUAUAAGAGGUGUGGGCAACCACUAUGGCAAUAAACGGUUUAGGUAAUAAAGUGUAUAGGACCCGGGGGCAGUGCCCGGCGCCUCCACCAAUUUCUUUUGACUUAUGGGGGCGAAACAGGAUCGACUUGCGCUGAAAGCUACUCUUUUUGCUCGGCAUUGUACCACCGUUAUCGGGCUGUUUUUAUAGUUGCAAAUGAUAACUAUGCUCCGGUCGCUGUAGCUGCUUAAUAGCAGUUCCACGCCGAAACUAAAUUCCUAGGCCUUAGCAGGUCUAGGUGGGGGCCUGGGGGGCACCUAGCAACAGAACGUCCCCCAU